rnacentral:tRNA from 1 species
AGGGGGCUCGAUCAAGUAGAUCAAAUAGUCUUCAAAAUUAUUAGUGUUGGUUCAAGUCCAGCGCCCCUUG